rnacentral:lncRNA from 1 species
CACCAUAGCUGCUGACCUUCAACACCCCUUGAAAGCUCAGGACAAAAAGCAGGUGUGAGGCACUCUGUGCUCUGGGGAAAACUGGAAAAACAGGUCUUCAGACAGACAUCUUCAGGACAAUAUUUUAUGGGUGAAAUUCUUAUAUCUCCUUGUAUCUGAUAGGGAUGGAGUAGACACAAGUACUUUUUUAGAAGUCCCAGUAAAUGACCACAGAUAACGAGGGAAACUUAGGGGACACUGGGAGAUCACUGUAAGUAAAUAAAUUGCUCAAAAAAGCCAUCAGAACAAGGCAGGCUUGCUUGUCUAGUGGAGGCUCAAGAUAUUGGGUGGGGGAUGGGGUGAGCCUUGCAUUCAAAUUCAGACCAAGGGCAGGAGUUUGAGGACCACCCUUCUGUGGAUUUGAAUACCCACCUUACCGGAUACCAAGGAGGUGCCAGUACUCCCAGAAAGGAAGAGGUGGGCUUUUCCAAACCCCACUCCGUGCUUGGUUGAUAAAACUGUAGCCCACCAGAUCCUGGGGCAGAGGCUCCUUGCCUGCCCGCUUGCAUCUCUCACAAGCAUCCUAUCUUAAUAAAUCUAUUUCUUGCCUAUCACUUUGUCUCUCGCUGAAUUCCUUCUGCACGGGGACAAGAAGAACCUGAAGCUCAGUGAGUGCAGACACAGGGUGAAUGAUUCUAAUUUAAAACCAUGGGUUCAAGGCCCAAUCUGGCUUUAGGCUGGGUUUGAGCUCUGGCACAUGGGUUCAAGUCCCAAUCUGUGUUCUGGGCUAGGUUCAAGCUGUUAAUAUUGUCAAUUUCAUAUCUAGAAAAGCACAAAAAUCAUUAACAGUGAUAUCUACCUUGGCGAUUAAGGAAAAUACCAUUAAGUCAACGGAGGAGCUAUGAUUCAGACAUCCAAAGUAAUGCUAGGUGGCACUGUCAUGGUGAUUUUGGACAAGUCCUUCUAUAGCUGAGAACUUGAAUUUUCUGAGCUGUGUCAGACUUAGGAUGUCUCCAGCUAUUCUUAAAGCAAUGUCUGCUUGACAGCUAGUAGUUGCAAACCUAUGUCUUCAAGGUAUCCUCUAAAUUGCUUGAGAUCAGACAUUAACAAAAAAAAAAAAAGAAAGAAAUGCGUAAUAGCCAGCAACUCCCAUUGUGUAUAUGUCAGUAUCACAUCUGAAGUUAAAAAUCUACUUAGAUAAAAGCAGAGAACUGGCUGCCUGGCUAUAAUGAUUCUCCCCAAAGUUCAAGUUAUAGACUGGGUUUGUCAUAUUCUCCUAAAUUACUCAGGGAAUGUGACUUAUUUUUUCUUUUUGUCUUUUUGCCUUUGCUAGGGCUGCUCCCGCGGCAUAUGGAGGUUCCCAGGCUAGGAGUCCAAUCGGAGCUGUAGUCACCAGCCUACACCAGAAACACAGCAAUGCAGGAUAUGAGCCGAAUCUGCGACCUACACUACAGCUCAUGGCAACGCUGGAUCCUUAACCCACUGAGCAAGGCCAGGGAUCGAACCUGCAACCUCAUGGUUCCUAGUCAGAUUUGUUAACCACUGCGCCAUGAUGGGAACUCCUAUUUUUUCUACUGAAGUCCCAGUUGUCAGUCCUACUUCUAACGGGGUCUGUUGCACCAGCAUGAGCAAAGGAUUGAGAUCCUCAUCAUGCAAGACUCAGAUCUAAGACUUGGAACUCAGGAAUAUUUGUAAUUUGGUGUCCAUUCCCCAAACUGAGGCAGGACUACACCCCAUUUCAGCUGGAAGUAGCCAGAGCAGUCAUUGCCCUGUUCCCUGGAAGACUUGGGGAAGAGGGGGGAUUUAAAACUCAAUCCCCCUAAAAACCAGGUUCCUUUUGCCGAGUUUCUGGAUUAACAUCCUUAUCCAAAAUUAUUCCCUGUAAUGCCUAACACCUGUUCUCAACAAGAAUGAGGAAUAUCAAUGAAAAGUGGAAAAUGAAACUGAGCUAGUGCUCUGUGGGGCUCCUAGGCACACAGGACUUUCUGUGUCCUCCAUUGCUUGUUUUUAGGGGACAAGCUUCAGCCUUCAGGACUUUCCCUGAGAUCCAAAGGGCAGGCUCAAACAGUUGCUAAUCAGGGAAGGGAGGGGAUGCAGAGACCAGGGAGGAGCAAUCAAGGAACAAUAGUGCAGCUUUGGGGCAGGGUCUUGGUCCCUCCUCAAGGAAUAUGAUAGCCAUAUCUUUUGAGUUCUUCUACAGAAGUAACCCCCCCAACAAAUGGAAGAUGUUAAUAAAGCAUUCUUUAUUCCAAAACGAACACCAAGAGACCAUACAACACCAGCUUUGAAAACAAUGCAAGCUUGCCUCUUCCCUGAUCCUUAGCUGCAGCGCUAUUUUUUGCUCCCCGAACUAUAAAACCACCUCCCAAUCUUCCCUAAGGGGGCACAGUCUUUAAGGCAUUACGCUGCUGUGACCCUCCUUUGCCUGGCAAAGCAAUAAAGCUAUUUUUUUCUCCCUCACCCCAAACUCUCUGCUUUUCUAUUUGGCACCGAUGACAGAGGCUGAGUUCUGGCAACAAAUGUGGAUGUUUCUUUGUUCCAAACAGCUUCAUGGUUUGGGUGGCCACACCUUUCAGGGACAUUCUCUCUAAGAUCCCUGGAGUGAAAUGCACUCCAGUGGCUGCUGAGGGGUCAGGAAGGGGCUGCCCUGGCCAGGGCCAACCUGGCAGAGGCACAGACUCAUAGGCUGGCUUCACCGAAAUUGUUAGCAAAAGUCCAUGUGCCUGAUGCAGAGUGAGGCCAAAACAAACAAAAACGUUGUUGGAGUUUGGAGCUGAGAAAAUCUACUGCAGACCUUGCAAGGAGAUAGCUGGCCCACACUCCCAAAAUAUCCCACUCCUGGAACCCAAACUGCCAAGCAUUUUUAAAUGCAAAGGGAGGGAGGGGUGUGAUUGGUUGCUGCACACUUCCUGGGGCAGAAAUCCUUUGUUCUUUUAACUGUCCACAGAGGGCAGCUCACAAUGUUCCUAUAAACGUCCAAUUAGAUACACCUUAUACUUCAGAGAGGAGCUAAAUCAGAGGAUAUAGGGAAAGAGCCUGCCCCAGGAAAGCCCCAUAGGGUUCUCCUCCGUUACACUAGGUUUCAUGGCGUCAGCUUUCUUGAACUGCAUAUGCAAAAACAACCAGUUUGGGAAUUUCAAAAGUUUAUAUCUUAACCAAAUUUUUCCAGAGUCUAAAGAAUAUAGCAACCACGCAGUGUUAAAAACAAAUCUCUCUCUCUAGACGGUCUCCCAGUUUUGCAAAACAUACCCUAGGAGGACUUUCAAAUGGAAUAGAGCUCUGAUUAUCCUGGCAGGUGUUAUCAAAUCUCAAAUGUGUUAGAAUGGUGGAGAACGAGAGGCAGAGGCUGGAGAAAUGCGAUUGCAAGCAGGGUCUAUUAACCCAGAGUGGAUAGGAGCACUAAGCAAGCAAGACUCAGCACCCCUAGCCCCGGGAGGGGAAUGCUUGAUUUUUAUGGGGGGGGGUGUCAUUUGAUUUUUAUGGGGGGGGUCGUUUUGUUGAGUCAUGUAGUCUGUGGCCUUGGGGCUAUCUUUAUUCUAGGGAGCUCAAAUGGUUACAUGGGCCAGUUUGAUAAGAAGGAGUCUGCAAGUCUGGAUUCAGCUGGGUUAUGCUGAUUUUUUUUCCUUUUAGACCUUGUUUCAUUUUCCAUCUAAGAAAACAGACAAAUGCCAUGCAAAACUAUCUCUCAGGAUCCCUGGCACCAAAAAGGGAGAUUCCCACCCAUUGCAAAGGAAAAAUCCCAACCAAUGCUCACCACAGGCAAAACACAAUGCAAUAGGGAAGGAUACCUGGGGUCACCUAUGAGCCCUGUUACCAAAGACAUCUCAACUGACCAAUACAACACACACACACAAACAACAAACAAAGGACCAGGCAAGGAGCAGCCCAGAAAUGCCACUUCUGUUCCCAGACAGAGGUCUCCAGAGCAGCCUGACUCCAGAAAGAGAAUGGACCAUGAGUGGCUCACCCCAAAGCUAUACACACAAAACAUAAACAGCAAAUGUUAUAGUCACACACACAGAAUAUCAGAGGUGUGGUCUAAAAUUCCACCUUCACUCCCAAACUGAGGAACCCUCCAGACUGGCCCACCCACUCUCAAAAGAGACUUACCCCAAUUGACAGUGAGCAUGGACCACAGCUCUGGACAUUCCUCCAUUCCAAAUAGCCUCAUACUGUGGGCAGCCGGUGUUUUGGGGGGACAGUUCAUCCAAGAUCCCCAGAGCAAAGUGGGCUCUGGCAGCUGCUUAGGUGUCAGGAAGAUGUUGCUGUGGCCAGGGCCAAUCUGGCAGAGGCCCAGACGCCUAGGCUGGCUUCACCAAAGUUGUCAGAGCAAGUCCAUGUGCCUGACACAGAGUAAGGCCAAACAAACUGAAAUGUCAGAGUUGGGAGCAGAGAAAGUUUUAUUGCAGGCCCUGCAAGGAGACAGCUUAUGCCCCCCCUCCCCCCAAUAUCCCAAACUCCCAGCCAGAAUUGCAAAACAUUUCUAAAGGCAAGAUAAGGGAGGGGUGUGGUUGAUUGUUGCAAUCCUUGGUUCUUAUAAAUGUCCACAGAGGUUAGGUCAUGAUGUUCCCAUAAACCUCCAAUAAGAUACAUGUUAUGCUUCAGAGAGGAGCUAAAGCCCAGGAUGUGGGGGGAAGGGCCUGAAAGGCCCCACUGGGUUUUGCUUGGUUUCAAAUAUUCUGUGAUAACCUAUAUGGGAAAAUAAUCUGAAAAAGAAUGGAUCUAUGUAUACGUAUAAUAGAAUCAAUUUGCUAUACACCCAAAACUAACAUAACUUUGUAAAUCAACUCUACUUCAAUACACAAUUAAAUUUAAAAGAUAUUAGAUUUUAAGGGUUUUAUCAUGUGGUCUAACAUUUUUAAAAGGACGGCUCUCUGACCUCCAGGGUUUCUGGCUGUUACAUCAUAUGCUUUUGAAUAUAAACAGCAACAGAAAUGAGUUGCAUUCCAGGUAUUUAUCAGCGCGUAUAAUCCCAAACUCACAGCCCUUGAAUACUUAUCAGAAACCGAUUUGUGAGAAAUAAUAUUUAUGGGGGGUUUGCGGAAAGAUACUUAACAGAGUGCUACCCAUUCCUUAUUAACUGUAUCUUCCUCAUUAAGAUAAGAUCUUCUGAAGUUUAGCAAACAAGAUGAUCGAGAGUAUAUUAUCUCAUGUUGUAUUGUCCCGUGUUACAUUAUACUAUACUUUAUAUGAAUAUAAAUGAAUAAUUAUUAAAAUAUUCAUUGUAAUACAAAUAAAUAAUUUUUUUGUUGCUUAAAACAAUAAAAGCUUCUGCCCAUGUUAACUGAUGAAUUCUAGGGGAGUUUAUGCCAGGCAGCGCACAAAGGCUACUCUUGUUUUGAACCUGAAUUAUCAAACUCUCAUGAAAACAAAUAAGAGUCCGUUCAUGGGCAUUUAAAAAACAAAAAAAGUCAAAUCUGCCCAUAACCAACAGAUGGCAUCCUCAGUCAUUUGUGUAAGUAUCAGAAUGGACAAAGUAGAGAUAAAAAUGGGUCUCUGAAAUUUUUUAUUUGUAAACAGGAGAAAUGCUAGGUCAUACUUUGAAACAUGAUGUAUCAAAUUAUUUCCCAGUGUCUCAUUAUUCUAGUUGCCUGUCUCAUGUUGAAUGCUAGGAAUUCUAGAAAGGUGUGAUUGUAGGAAAUGUAUAUAAAAGGGGAAUUGAUACUCUUUUAAUUUUUAAUACUGAAGUAGAAAAUGUUUUCUGUUGCUAAAACAAGAAGAGCUUCCAUAGAAGUGUUUGAAACGAUGUAUUUGAAGAGUUGACUAAAGGAAAAUUUUAAAAGAAAUAUUCUCUUGUUUCCAGAUUUUUAAUGACACCUACAAUGUGUCAAACACCAUGAAUUCUUGCAAAAGAAUUUUACUUUUAGUAGAUUUCAGUGCCUUCUAUUAUACUGCUUUCUUCUCUUUGUUUUGUAACCUUUCAUCCUGUUGACUCAUUUUUAACUUAAGAGCUUGCUUGCAUACUUUAUUGGGUUUUUUUUUUUUUACUUUUUUUUUGAAGGAUAUAAUACACAUAGAAGCAUGUACACCUCACAAGGGUAUGUGUCUCUGAAUUUUCAAAAAGUGAACAUAUGCAUGAUACUGACAGUCAAAUCACGAAAUAGAAUCUUAGCAACACCCUCAGGAUCCCAUCUCAUGCUCCUUCCAUUCACCCCCCUCUUUCCACCCCAAGAGUAAUCAUUUCUCUGGCCUCUACAACUAUAGAUCAGUUUGGCCUAUUUUUUUUGCAGCUUAUAUAUAAAUGGAAUAAUAUUCUUUUUUGGUUUCCCUUUUAGGGCCACAGCUGUGUCAUAUGGAAGUUCCCAGGCGAGGGGUCAAAUCAGAGCUGUAGCUGCUGGCCUACACCACAGCCACAGUAACGCCAGAUGUGAGCUGCAUCUGACUUCUGCGGCAGUUUGAGGCAAUACCAGAUCCUUAACCCAACUGAGUGAGGCCAGGAAUCGAACCCACAUCCUGAUGGAUACUAGUCAGGUCCUUAACCUAUAGAGCCACAACAGGAACUCCUGGAAUCAUAAUCUAUAGACUCUUUUGCUUUGUUUGUGUAACAGUCUAUAUGAGAAAUUCAUCCAUCUGUGUGCUGGUACCGUGAUUUCAAGCUAUCAGCAAGAAGUCAUUGAUCACAGAGUGGGAAGUGAGCUGGCACCAGGCAACUUCAGCACAAUGCCGAAUUUACUCAUCUUGUUGCAAGUUCAUUCUCAUGAUUAUAAUGCACUCAAAUUUACCAUAUUUAAUUUUAUGUGCUGAUGCGUAUCUUCCUCAAAAAACCCUCAGAUCUAACAAAUCCAUAUGGGAAGUGAAUAGUUAGCUGCCUUUUUUCUUGUAGUAUUUUUCUAGCUGUCUUAUAUAUACAUGAAGGCAGACCUGGAACAUUUUCUGGAACAUUUGGGGGGUAUAUUUUCCAGAGCUUUAUAGAUCAAAUACAACUGUUUCAUAAUCACAAGUCCCACUUCUCCCUAGUUCUUACCAAUGCGUUCUCACGUUAAACAAUUAAUUUAAAAUUAUUUUUUUUAAAAAAGUGCUUAUGGAAGAAAAAUCUGAAUUGUGAGGUCUGACUCCCACCAAUUUCUUUAUAUUAUGAGCUUUGUAUACUUGGACCCACUUUGUGGGUCUAGAAUUAAGUCUAUCCCAAUUUUGAAGGGAAACAUUUUAUUUCUUACAAAUUAAGAGGAUUAUUACACACUAUAUAAACAUGAAUGAAUAAUUUUACUUCUGCAAAGUUGUUUUUGAAACUUUUUUUUUUGUCUUUUGUCUUUUUAGGGCCACACCCGCAGCAUAUGGAGGUUCCCAGGCUAGGGGUCACAUCAGAGCUUCAGCUGCCAGCCUAUGCCAGAGCCACAGCAAUGCCAGAUCCAAGCCGCAUCUGCCACCUACACCACAGCUCAUGGCAAUGCCAGAUCCUUAACCCACUGAGUGAGGCCAGGGAUUGAACCCUCAACCUCACGGUUCCCAGUCAGAUUUGUUUCCACUGCACCACAACGGGAAACUCCUGAAACUUUGUGUGUGUGUGUGUGUGUGUGUGUGUGUGUGUGUGUGUGUGUGUGUGUGUGUCUUUUCCAGGGCCACUCCCUCGCCUGGGAACCUACAUGUGCUGUGGCAGCAACCCAAGAAAUGGCAAAAAGAACAAAAAAAAAAUAAGAGAGAGAGAGAGAGAAAGUAGGAGUUUAGAGACAGAAGACGUGAGGGUACAUGACCACAGAGGCAGAGGAAUUAGAGUGAAGUGGACACAGGACUGAAGCUGGAUGAGGCAAGGAAUGGAUUCGGCCCCAGAGCCUCUGGGGGGCAUGGCCCUUCUGAAACCUUGAUGACAGAGUCCUGCCAUGCAGUGCCAGAAAACUCACACAGUAGCAUUUGCUAAUUUAUGUGGCAUAAAUAACCUCAAUGUAUCUGAUUUUCAGCUACCAACAUAUAGUCAGUGAUCAGAGCUGGGAAGGGAUACACACAUGAAAAUUUAUCACCGGGGGCUUUGUGCAGGCUUUGGGCAUCCUAUGCUAGUACCACCCUGCUUUCAAUAUGCCCUUGGCCUUGGAUAGAGGUGCAUUUUUUUCACCUGCUUUCAUUCAUUUCUUUCUGCCAGAGACAGUGAAAUGAGGUAUCCUGCCCACCACUUAUUUCAGGGGCACCCAGAAAAAGUCAAUGAAAAGUGACUACAACUUUACUCAAAUUAAUACACUAGAAGAAAGCUGGCAUUUUUGUAAAGCCCAAAUAGAUGCAUACUACACAUAAAGUUAAAUGACAUCAGAGUGCAAAAAUUAUAAGCUACAAACUCACACACGCUAAAAUCCUGCCUCCACUUAAUAACUGGUGACCCUCAGCUGACCACUGAAUUCCUUUUUUCAAAAGGCAUGGGAAGUGCUUUUCGAGUAGUAGUAAGUACUCAAUGAAAAGUAGUUAGAAUCCUUUCCUAUCAUUGGUGAGGACGAUGGCAGAAGUAGUAACAGUAAAAUAACAAAGUUUCCCUUGUGGCUCAGUGGGUUAAGAACACAAGAUACAGAAAGAGAAAGACAAAUACCAUAUGCUGUCACUUACAUCUGGAAUCUAAUAUAUAGCACAAAUAAACCCUUCCACGGAAAAGAAACUCAUGGACUGGAGAACAGACUGGUGGUUGGCAAGGAGGAGGUGGGAGUGGGAUGACUGGGAAUCAGGGGUUAAUAGAUGCAAACUAUUGCUUUUGGAGUGGAUAAGAAAUGAGAUCCUGCAGUAUAGCACUGGGAACUAUAUCUAGUCACUUGUGAUGGAACAUGAUGGAGGAUAAUGUGAGAAAAAAAAAUAUAUGUAUGUGUGACUGGGUCACUUUGCUGUACAGUAGAAAAUUGACAGAACACUGUAAACCAACUGUAAUGUAAAAAGUAAAAAUCAUUAAAAAAAAAAAAAA